rnacentral:misc_RNA from 1 species
AAGUCGUAACAAGGUUUUCCUUCCGGAUGACACUGUCACCCCCUACUGAAGCCUUACGUGGCGACUUUAAACAACCACGGAGUCUUGCCUUCUGGGCAGGACAACACCGCUGAAUUGCUGUAAUCAACUGUCGUUGUAUCAGCAGCCCCUUCCCCCCCGGGGCCCACAGAUCAAGCCGCGGUGGUUUUAACCUCGAGUCGCGAGGUGAAACUGUAAUAUGACCGGUCUCCGCCUGUGAUGGCUGAGAAUUAACGUUCCGUAGGUGAACCUGCGGAAGGAUCAUUACCGAGUUAGGGUCUC